CGGAGAGGGUCAUCAAGCGGGAAGAGGGAGAGAAGCUGGCGAAGGAAUAUGGAGUCCCGUUCAUGGAGACCAGUGCCAAGACUGGAGUCAACGUGGAGCUGGCCUUCCUCGCCGUAGCGAAGGAGCUGAAGCACAGAGCCGCCCAGCAGCCCAACGAACCCAAGUUCCACAUCCACGACUACAUCGAGUCCAAGAAGCACAGGUCUGGCUGCUGCGGCCUCGAGUAGUGGGCGAGAGAGAGAGAGAGAGUCUGGUCCGAGGCUAUCCCUAAUCUGAAAUGUGAAUUUGAAUCAUGUGUUUUCUUCGUGGUGACAAUUGUAUCGAACGACAAGUCGGGAGUAAACCUUUUGAAAUGCUACAUCCACCCGCGGGAGUAAAGAUCCGAUUCUUCAAUGCAAAGCUUCAAAAAUUACAGUUGUUUUUUUUUAAUGACUUAUCAACACGAGGGCGGCACAGCAAGAAGGUCCUGGGCUCGAGCCCCCGGGGUGGUCCAACCUUGGUGGGUCGUCCCGGGGUCGUCCCCCUGUGUGGAGUUUGCAUGUUCUCCCCGUGUCUGGGUGGGUUUCCUCCGGGGCCUCCGGGUUCCUCCCACGGUCCAAAGACAUGGAGGUCAGGUGGAUCGGCCAUACUAAAUUGUCCCUAGGUAUGACUGGGUGUGUGUGUGUGUGUGGGGGGGGGGGGCCCUGUGUGAUGGUCUGGCGGCCUGUCCAGGGUGUCCCCCCGCCUGCCGCCCAAUGACUGCUGGGAUAGGCUCCAGCAUCCCUUCGACCCUGAGAGCAGGAUAAGCGGGUCACAUGACGGAUGGAUGGAUGGAUGGAUGGAUGAUCAACACGACCGUCGAGAAGUCGUGGGUGUAGCAUUUUGCGACGAAGCUCUUCUUCUGCCCCCACCCUACCUCCGCCCGGCUGUGAGCCGACCCCCCAUUGGCCGUACGGUCGUCGCCGUUCUUGCAGAAUUCAGCAAUUUUUUUCCCAGAUCGUCUCAAUAAAGUCCAGUCUCACAGUCGGGUUGCGGCCGAACUGGUCCCCCACGUGUCCCCAUGUGUGCUGGUGUUAGAAUAAAACCACGGAUGUUUUCGGGGCGCCAGCCCGCUGUGUGUGUCUCUGUACCAUCG